UCCCAGUUGUACCGUUAAAUUCAAUCCCAAUCAUGAUAACAUUAAAAGUGUAAUCCAACCAUGACACCCCCUCCCAGUACACUAUAAAUACUUCCUCCAUCAACCCCAAACCCACAGCAAUCAGCGGAACCAAGGCCAAGAAAGAACAGCUUGCUCCUCAAUAGGAAGCAAACUGAGAGCUCUUGUUGAUUGCCACUCGGAGGUUCGUUGCUUCUCCGGCCGGAGUUCUUCGCAAAUGCCGCCGGUCGCUUUUUGUUUUUUUUUUUUUUUUUUUUUUGUUUUUUUUUUUUUUUUUUUGCAAAGCCGCCGCUGGAACUUUCCACCGUCAAGGCCGCUGGUCGUAAAUCGUUGAAGCCCGUUGCCAACGCAGCUGCCGGAGGUUCUUCACAGAAGUCGCCGGACGCCGGUUGCAGAGCCCUGUUUCUGUCUUUUGCAGGUUCGCCGGAGAUCGCCGCUGCUGGAGGUCACCCGAGCUGUUGCGUUGCUGCCGCCACCGGAGUUCUUUGUAGAAGCCGCCGGUCGCAAAUUGCAGUUGUUGAAGCUUCCUUCUGCAUCUUAUUAUCAUUGCUAGGGGAUUGACUAAAGUCCUAAGGCCGCCGGUUGCAGAGCUCUGUUUAUCCAUUGUUGUUGGUGCAGGAAUUUGAUCUCCAUCGAAGUCACCGUUGGAUCGCCGGACACUACUUCUUGCACCACCAUCAUCCCGCAUAGGGUGGGAGAAGACAGAGAUGAAGGAAGUUACUGAACGUCGAUGCUGCGGUUCCCAUUGGAAAGUUGCUCACACCCGCCGAAAUAUUGUUGCUCCAGAGUUGUCGUCGAUGACUAAAGGAUGAGCUUUGAAGGGCUUGGAUCUGUUUUGGCAACCAUUUCAGUCUACGGCUCUGUCUAUAUGCAAAUUCCAAAGCCAACUUUUUCCUUUAUUAACCAUGUGACUUUGCAGUGCUAUGCUUAUGGGGAAUGACAAAAUGGACAACAAAAAGACUUUAAUAUUA